rnacentral:rRNA from 1 species
UUCUAUCGGCGUGGGAUGGGGUCGCGUCCUAUCAGCUUGUUGGCGGGGUGAGGGCCCACCAAGGCUUCGACGGGUAGCCGGCCUGAGAGGGCGACCGCGCACAUUGGGACUGAGAUACGGCCCAGACUCCUACGGGAGGCAGCAGUGGGGAAUAUUGCACAAUGGGCGCAAGCCUGAUGCAGCGACGCCGCGUGAGGGAUGGAGGCCUU